rnacentral:lncRNA from 1 species
UCAUACUGCAUUUUACUCAGCUACACGCAACUCUGCUGGGAAGCUUCAUUAAUGCAAUUGAAGGCCAUUGUGAUCCUUCAAGAAUGGUAUUACAGAAACGCAGGAUUAUAUCACCUCUAAUUCUCAUUGUUCCUGAAGAAUAAUCAGUAUAGAAUUUCAACUGAAAAUGCCUGAAUAUAUCUUUUGCUAGAUAUGUGCUGAGCCAUAAGGGUUGUCUCUCUGUAAAAUGCAGUGUGAACAUAGGGAAUGUGAUUUGGGUCUUUGCCUUGUUUUUGGGACAGAAUAAUUCAUUGUGGCUACUUGUCUUUCAUUCAUCCUGCUUGGCAAGUGUGUUGGGGCAAGAGGAGGAAGGAAAUACUCUCCUUGUCCCAGUUUGCCAGAGGAGGAAGAAUAAUGGGUAUCUCCCUCUCUCCUCCCUUUCAUCAGGAGCUGCCCACAGAGCAAUCAUGUUGGAAGUGAAAAAAGAGGAAGAUACAUUUCGUUUCCUCCUCAUAUUUGUCUUCCCCUUAUCUUCAUCCAGAGAUGGUAUCUUUGGUCCUCUUGUCAGAAAAAUCAAAACGGGUUACUGUUUCGCAGUCCAGCCUAACAAGAUGGAACUCCCAUUGGUAUCCUGCAAAUAUCCUUCUGUUGUCACUGUAUAUUUAUUAUUCUAUGUAGUUUGUGGUGUUCUCUCUUUAUCUUCUUAUUUUUUAAUUCCAGAGAUGUUAAAAUAAAUAUGACUUUGUGAUUUUUGGACCAUGAAAACGAGAGGCCAGGAGUCCUUGUGGAAAAUGGUGUUUAGAAACUAUAUCUUUGUCACAUGAUCCCUAAAGACACAAGAGUCACAAAAGUUGAGGAAAAAGUGUAUUAGGCAUAAUCCAGCAUUCUUCUCUACCUGCUUCAUGCAUCGAACACAGGAUCAAAUGAAGAUCUCUAUGUACUUGCGGUGUAUCUUGUACCAGCAUGGUACAAAAUGAAGUGGGGAAAGAAAUUGCUAAUCAAAUAGUUACCUUUCUUGGUGAAGUAGCCAUGGGAAGAGUAGAGCAGGAAUGGUCACACCAGCUCAGAGAGGAAAAUAAUGCAUGGCAAGGGAAAGGGUUAAUUUGUCUUCCAGAUUCCCUUUGCUCCAGCUCAGUACUCCAAGUGUAUCAGAACCAGAGCAUUCUUGGAGCAGUUUUCAGGUAAGAGGAUGGCCCUGGAACUAUAUAAGCAGCAUGGAUUAGGCCUUCUUGUUUUGUACUGUAAUAACAUUCAAGGAUACAGCACAAAGAGAAAAAGUGAUGGCUUUUAUAUGACGCAUAGUUGAUCCCAGGUGAAAGAGGUAUUAGACAAGAAAAUGUCUGCAACUAGGAAAGGGCAUCUGAAGAACAUUAUCAGCAUUUACUGACGGUGGUACUAGCAGGGGAAAAUGAAGGAGAAAACUGGAUGGUGAAUAAAGAGAUUUCUUUAAACA